UACGUAGGCAGCAAGCGUUGUUCGGAGUUACUGGGCGUAAAGGGUGCGUAGGCGGUCCUAUAAGUAUGGUGUGAAAUCUCCCGGCUUAACUGGGAGGGUGCGCUAUAGACUGUGGGACUAGAGUGUGGGAGAGGAAAGUGGAAUUCCCGGUGUAGAGGUGAAAUUCGUAGAUAUCGGGAGGAACACCAGUGGCGAAGGCGGCGACCUGGACGGACAUUGACGCUGAGACGCGAAAGCGUGGGGAGCAAACAGG
rnacentral:rRNA from 1 species